rnacentral:lncRNA from 1 species
GGGACCCGGAAGUGGGGGGCUGCGGCGGGAGGUGAGGGCCGCCUGCCUGGCCGGACCCCAGGGGUGUCGGACGGUGGGCAGGGCCUCCUGGGAUCCCUGAGGCGCCGGCAGGAGGAGACGCCCUGGGGUCGGUGCCUCCACCUUCCCGUCCGGGCGGUUACAGCUUUCCCGCGUUCGCUGUCAGAGGCAGGGACCGGCGACCUCGGGGGCCUGGUCCCUGAGCCACAGCGGGGAGUCGUCCGAGCAUCUCGGGAUGAGGAAGUGUGAGUGUAAUAUCAGGAUGAUUUGACUGCAAGCAACAGAGAAUCAAACAGAAAUGGCCUAGGGAGUCCCUUCGUGGCUCCCCAGUUAACAAUCUGACUGGAUCAUGAGGAUGCAGGUUCAAUCCCCGGCCUCUAUCAGUGGGUGAAGGAUCUAGCCUACACCACAGCCAUGGCAGCACCGGAUCUGAGCUGCAUCUGCAACCUACGCUGCAGCUUGUGGCAGUGCCAGAUCCUAACCUACUGAGCAAGGCCAGGGAUCAAGCUUGCCUUCUCAGGGACACUGUGUCAGGCUCUUCAGCCCCUGAGCCAUAACGGGAACUCCUUCGUUUUCAAGUUUUGCUUUCAUUUAGAUGAUUUGGGGGUAUGACAGGACGUCGAUACCCAGUCUUACCCUCUUUCAUCCCUGGUUUCCUGGAGAGUAUCUUUUCCGUUACAGCCAGGAUGCAGCCUCAUUCAUUGAUUAUGCUGAUCCUUUGCCCAGCGAUCUGACAGGCCGUCUCUGCGUAUUUCAGAUUUCCUUUUCUAAGUGCUUCUAUUUCGGGUCCCUGCUCCCUGUGACAACAUCACAUUGUUCAAAUUACUACCAUCCCUGUCUAAUCCCCUUCCUUUUUCUUUAGCAUAGUUUUGUCAAGUCCUUUGAAAAACUGUACAGGAAUUUUUUAUUGAAAUUGUAUUGAAUUUAUAGGUAAAUUUGGGGAAAAUUGCAGUCUUUAAAAUAUUGAACUCUCCCGUCCAUGAAUAUAGUAAAUCCUGUAUUUCUUCCCCACUUCCAUCAGCUUUUGUUGCUUUCUCCAUAAAAAUCUGACACACCAUUUGUUAAAUUUAUUUCUUGACACCUUAAAAGCUUUUAUUGUCAUGGUUAAUAAUGUCCUUUAACAAUAACUAUUGAUUUUUGUGUAUUGGUUUCUAGCAAAUUGUGAGCUUUCUUAUUAGCACUCAUAUUUAUUUGUAAUUUCUCCUGGAUAUUCUAUGCAAGCAUAUAUUCUUUGUACUAAUUACGUUAUCUCUUUUCCCUGGUCUUUAGCUUUUUGUGUCUAUGAUGCUUUUUAAAUUUGGGGUAUAAUUAUCAACCAAUAAAAUGCACAGAGGUCCUAACUGCUGAACUCAGUUAGGUCUGACCACUAGAUACACUUGUGUAAUCAAGGUCCUAAUCAAGAUACGGCACACUCCCAUCGCGCCAGGAAACGCCCCCGGGCUCCCCCCUGUCGAGUCCUUCCUCCCAGCCUUAGGCAGUCAGCAGUCUGCUUCCUGUGGCUAUCAGUUAGUGCCUCCUGUUCUUGAACUUUAUGUAAAUGGAAUCACCCGGGCUUUUCAUUUUGGGACUGGAUGCUUUUACACUGCACAGUGUUGCCUUACGUUGCAUUUAUGUUGUUGCCUGCGUCAGGAAUCCAUCCUUGCAUGACUGAAUAAUGUUCCCUUCUUUGGAUAUUCCACAGUUUGUUAUCCCAGCUCCAUGUUUUGUUUUUGUUUUUUUGUCUUUCUUUAAGGCCUUACCCGAAGCACAUGGAGGUUCCCAGGCUAGAGCUCAAAUUGGAGCUGCAGCCUCCGGCCUACACCACAAUGACCCCAGAUCUGAGCCUCUUCUGCGACCUAAACCACAGCUCAUGGUAACACCGGAUCCCACUGAGCGAGGCCAGGGAUUGAACCCGCAACCACAUGGUUCCUAGUUGGAUUCAUUUCCGAUGCACCACGACGGGAACUCCCCAGCUCCAUGUUAAUAGAACUGUCUUGUUUUGAGUCUGGGGCCACUAUGAAUAAGUGUCCUAUAAACAUUUCAGUCUUUUAACUUUUUCUUUUCUGCAGCACAUGGAAGUUCCUUGGCCAGGGAUCCAGCCCUCUCCAUUGCAGUGACCUGAGCCACAGCAGUGACAACGCUGUAUUCUUAACACACUAGGCCGCCAGGGAACUCCUCUUUUAUUUUCUUAUUGUGGCUCCUAGGACCUACCAUAUGACGUUGAAGGGAGGGUAUCCUGAGGUUUUCAACACUGUGAGUUUCAGUAUUGGCAGCGGGCUUUUGAAGACGCGCUUCAUUAAGUGGGGAGAGGUCUCACCUAUCCUUGCUUUACUUGAGAGUAUUUAUUUAUUCAUUUUGAGGAGGUAUCUUUGUUUAAUCAAGAAUGAUUGCUGGGUUGAAUUAAGUGUCUUUUCUGCAUCUAUUGAAAUGAUUUUUCUCCUUUCAUCUGUUAAUGUAGUGACUAUAUUAAUCUAUCUUCUAAGUCAUUUUUUACAUUCUUGGAUAAAUCUUAAUUAGCAAUGAAUUAAGAAAUUACUUUGCCAGAUUUUACAAAUAAUACGUUAUUUCUUA